ACCACAGCUGGUAUCAUGCAGCCGUAAUAAGUUACGGAAAUCAUACUGUGCUGUAAAAUUGAAAUGCUGUAUUUUACCCCUUGAUUUGUUUAUAUUCAAAUCAAGGUAUUAAUGCAGGCACAGAUUU
rnacentral:snoRNA from 1 species